CUGUGCAGCUGUGCAGCAGGGGGAGAAGAGGAGGGCAGUUCCACUGCAUAGCUUCCCCUGAAGACUGAGGACUUUGCUUCUGGGGCUGUCUCCUGGCCCUGUCUUCGUCAUCUCAGCUCUCAACAUCUUAGGGACUCUCCAGGUGCUCUUUGACUUGUCUUCAGAUAACGAAGAAAUGAGCCUGAAUCGGCUCACAGCACACCACAGUCAUCCAAAGAGACCUGCUAUUAAGAGUGAAAAUGUGUCCAGUGCCCUGAAGUGGCCACCUGUGUUUGGAGGGAGCGAAUUACCUUCUGCUCUCCUGGAAUUGAUGAUUUCACAGUGAAGAUUUGCUGCCACGGAGAGAGCUGUGGGUGGAAUGCAAAGUUAUUGGUGUCUCUGGAAAUCCUCUUUGAUUUCCUGUGCUUGUUGGAAGAACCAGGGGGGCCUGGAGGUCCUCAGGUAGAACAUGGAGAAGCCAGAAGAGAGGUUUUCAUGCUCAUAAGAGACUAAUCUUAUGUCUUUGUUGGUAGAAGUCCAUUUAUAAAAAAGUGAAAACAAAAGAACAGUAAUUUUGUACUUCCAUCUAAACAUAUCGCAACAGAGAGGAAAAAGCUGGAAAACCCUGGAGUGGAGGCAAUGGGUUAUUAGUGUAAAAGGACCUGAAUAGAAACCCUUGACUCUUUGUAGUAUUUCUCUUCAUAUAAGAAAAAGCAUUCCCUACUUUCUUUCUCUAAAAUGGAGAAAAAUAUUUUGCUCAAGGUUCUUGAUUGGGAGUGGGGCUGGGGACAGGUCAAGGAUAGGCGGAAGAUAAUUUUCUUUUUUCUCCUUUGGUAGUGGGAGCUUAUGAAAAAGUAGACUGUAGAUGCUUCAGUGAUUACGGGGAGCUCAAAGUCUGUAGCUCCGGAACUAGACAACUGUGGAUAAGAUCUUAUCAUGUAGAUCUUGUAUUCUUCAACCUGCCAGUUGUUCCCCAGGGUAGAGGGAGGUGACAUAAGUGGGGUCCCCCAGAACCCUAGGGAAACUCCCUGCCUCAUCUCCCACAGGAAGCAAAUAAAGACCUUUAUC
rnacentral:lncRNA from 1 species